rnacentral:rRNA from 1 species
GACGAACGCUGGCGGCGUGCUUAACACAUGCAAGUCGAACGAAGUGGCGAACGGGUGAGUAACGCGUAAUCAACCUGCCCUUCAGAGGGGGACAACAGUUGGAAACGACUGCUAAUACCGCAUACUGAAGGAGGGGAUUGCGUCUGAUUAGCUAGUUGGAGGGGUAACGGCCCACCAAGGCGAUGAUCAGUCGCCGUGAUGAGGGGAUGAAAGGCCACAUGGGGAGUGGUACACGGCCAAGACUCGUACGGGAGGCAGCAGUGGGGAAGCGUACGCAAUGGACGAAAGGCUGACGGAGCAACGCCGCGUGAGGGAUGACGGCCUGCGGGUUGUAAAGCUGUGUUAAUCGGGACGCGGGACCGGAAUAGAAAGCCACGGCUAACUACGUGCCAGCAGCCGCGGUAAUAC